rnacentral:tmRNA from 1 species
AUAUUCGAGGUCUGCACCGCUACUUAACAGUUGUCCUUCGGGACUAUGGAUAUAAACGCGCUCGUAAUAAGCGGUUCGGACCCGGGGGCGGUACCCGGCGACUCCACCAAUCAUCCGUCAUUUGCGGAUCAUGGGGUCGAAACAGGAUCGACGAACGUCUAAAGGGGUUAGCUUUAUCUCGGCUGUCUGCCACCGAUAUCGGCGAAACUUGUACAAUUGCAAAUGACAAUCGUGCUCCAAUGGCGAUGGCCGCGUAAGCGACCGGAACUAUUGAAACCUUAAGUCCUUGCGUUUAGCGACCCAAGGCGGGGCCCGCCGGAGCCUGGCAACAGAAU